rnacentral:rRNA from 1 species
AUUGAACGCUGGCGGCAGGCCUAACACAUGCAAGUCGAGCGGUAACACAGGGAGCUUGCUCCCGGGUGACGAGCGGCGGACGGGUGAGUAAUGUCUGGGAAACUGCCUGAUGGAGGGGGAUAACUACUGGAAACGGUAGCUAAUACCGCAUAAUGUCGCAAGACCAAAGAGGGGGACCUUCGGGCCUCUUUCCAUCAGAUGUGCCCAGAUGGGAUUAGCUAGUAGGUGGCGUAACGGCUCACCUAGGAGACGAUCCCUAGCUGGUCUGCGAGGAUGACGAACCACACUGGAACUGAGACACGUUCCAGACUCCUACGGGAGGCAGCAGUGGGGAAUAUUGCACAAUGGUGGCAAGCCUGAUGCAGCCAUGCCGCGUGUAUGAAGAAGGCCUUCGGGUUGUAAAGUACUUGCAGCGGUGAGGAAGGUGUUGAGGUUAAUAACCUCAGCAAUUGACGUUACCCGCAGAAGAAGCACCGGCUAACUCCGUGCCAGCAGCCGCCGCGG